rnacentral:rRNA from 1 species
GACGAACGCUGGCGGCGUGCUUAACACAUGCAAGUCGAACGGACAGGUGAUGAUCUUGUGGGGUGCUCGUGAGGCGAACAGGGGAGUGAAACAUGUGUAAACUGCCCCUGACAUUGUGGUAACUUCAGGGAAAUGGGGCUCAUAUCGGGUAGAAGCUACUGCUGCAUAGUGGGGGUUGGUAAGAUUCGGCGGUUGGGGCUGGACUCGAGGCUUAUCCGCUUGUUGGUGGGGUAGUGGCUUACCAAGGCUUGGAAGGGUAGCCGGCCUGAGAGGGUGACCGGCCACAUUGGUCCUGAGAGACGGCCCAGACUCCUACGGGACGCAGCAGUGGGGAACAUUGCAGAAUGGGCGGAAGCCUGAUGCAGCAACGCCGCGUGCGGGAUGACGGGCUUCGGGGUGUAAACCGCUGUCGCCUGUGAUGAAGCCUGAGUGACGGUAAUUGGUAAAGAAGCACCGGCUAACUACGUG